rnacentral:rRNA from 1 species
AGCAGUAGCCGCGGGAAUACCGAGGGUGCGAGCGUUAAUCGGAUUUACUGGGCGUAAAGCGUGCGUAGGCGGCUAAUUGAGUCGGAUGUGAAAUCCCCGAGCUUAACUUGGGAAUUGCAUUCGAUACUGGUUAGCUAGAGUGUGGGAGAGGAUGGUAGAAUUCCAGGUGUAGCGGUGAAAUGCGUAGAGAUCUGGAGGAAUACCGAUGGCGAAGGCAGCCAUCUGGCCUAACACUGACGCUGAGGUACGAAAGCAUGGGGAGCAAACAGGAUUAGAUACCCCGGUAGUCCCUGUCUCUUUAUA